AAACGUUGUUUUUUUUUCACAUCAGAUUGAUGUCAUUAUUGAUUGUUGAAAACGAAUAUUCUCGUUCUUCGCUUUUCGAAGAUUGCGUUACAUAACACGUAUGAAAUAGAGAGAUGAAGUACAUGGAUUUAUAAAGCCGGGGUUGGUUUCAUGCUUGUCGUUAACGUACUGCUGCAAAGUUGAAAUAGCGUACUCUCUUUUGCGGAACUAACUUCGACAGACCGAAGUUGGUGUUGCAUACUGCAAUAUUCGUUGAAUUUGAAGUAGCUGUCUUAAUAAGAAGAAUACAGCACUGUAGGAAGAAGAGCAAGCAUGGAAUGCUAUACAUUGCUUUUUCCCGAGUUAAGAGGCGAAGUAGUUUAAAAGUUCUGCAACCACCAGACAAUCUACAUUGCUUCCGCGAUGUUGUAUGGAAAGAAGUGUUGAAUACCAUGGAGGUUAAC
rnacentral:lncRNA from 1 species